rnacentral:pre_miRNA from 1 species
GUAGUCGGAUUCGCAUCAAUCUACAUGUGUUGGAGUGGAACUUGAACUAAAUUUCACCACAAUCCACUCAAACACAUGUGGAUUGAGGUGAAUCCGACA